GGUUGCGAUCCUACCAGCACUAAUGCACCGGAUCCCAUCAGAACUCCGCAGUUAAGCGUGCUUGGGCGAGAGUAGUACUAGGAUGGGUGACCCCCUGGGAAGUCCUCGUGUUGCAACCC
rnacentral:rRNA from 1 species